rnacentral:rRNA from 1 species
GGAUUGCCCUAGUAAUGGCGAAUGAACAGGCAAAAGCUCAGAUUUGAAACCCUCGGGAUUGUAAUCUGGAGACCUGGAUUUGGCACGCUGACCAAGUCUUCUGGAACGGAGCGCCAUGGAGGGUGACAGCCCCGUAGCAGCAGCCACUGUAAAUCCGGGUCGACGAGUCGAGUUGUUUGGGAAUGCAGCUCUAAGUGGGUGGUAUGCUCCAUCUAAAGCUAAAUAUUGGCGAGAGACCGAUAGCGAACAAGUACUGUGAAGGAAAGAUGAAAAGAACUUUGAAAAGAGAGUGAAAAAGUACGUGAAAUUGUUGAAAUGGAAGGCAAUGAGGUGCGAUUGAACCGGACGUUUGCGGGCAGGACAAAAGCGCAGGCCGCCUCGGCAUUGCCUGCGUGCAUACUGCCUCGCGGACUACCAGUUCUAACAACGCCUUAUUGCACCCGUCUUGAAACAC